rnacentral:rRNA from 1 species
UACGUAGGGAGCAAGCGUUGUCUGGAAUCAUUGGGCGUAGAGCGCGCGUAGGCGGCCUCAUAAGUCCGUUGUGAAAGUCAAAGGCUCAACCUUUGAAAGCCGAUGGAUACUGUGAGGCUAGAGUCCGGACGAGGCGAGUGGAAUUCCUGGUGUAGCGGUGGAAUGCGCAGAUAUCAGGAGGAACACCAAUAGCGAAGGCCGCUCGCUGGGACGGUACUGACGCUAAGGCGCGAAAGCGUGGGGAGCGAACAGG